GCUGUAGCGCAAUAUCGCUUAAUCUCGUUAAGAAGGCAGAAGUGAAGGAUUUACCUAUGCUUGGGUAUUAGAAGAGAAUGAAAAAAAUUUGAGAUUUGCCUUCCAUCCGGUACACUGGAGGGUUGAGAAGUGCAGUACGGUUCAGUUAAGCGAUAUAGAAAUGAGUGUACUCCAAAUCGUUAUUCGAAAUCAAUUUUGUUUAAGGUAGAUUGGAUAUUGGAAUGCACAUGGCAUGGACUCAAGAAAAUCCGAUGGAGGGCAGUGAAACAGGCAAAAGGUUAAUUAAAGGAGAUAUAGAUAUAGCUUGAGUAGUAAGAGCAUGCAAUUUGGAGAAGAAGAAAUGAGAGAGAAAACGUAUGUCAAACAGCAAAAAGGCAGUAGAUGAAUGAAUGGAUGGAUGAAUUACCAUACAAUGUUUUUACUCUGACGUUCCUUUCCGUUUAGCAUGCAACCUUGCGGAGAUGGAAAAAGACGAGUAGAUGAAGAAGAAUAAGAGGCGAUGAGAUUUGGUUUGAUGACUUGGGAGUGUGACGAAAAGUGCGAAUGCCGAUUAAUGGCUGGAAAUUGACAAGUCAGGUGGAGGCAGAAUAAUGAUGAUGAUGGAUGAGGUGGUUGGGUAUUGAAAACAAGGUAAGCAAGCGUAAGCCAGCGGCAAUGGGGUAAAGUUGGAGAAAAAUGCAAAGAAUGAUGUUGGAAAUUGGAGUCGGGCGGGAAGAAUGGGAUGAGGUGGAUGGAUGAUGGAUGAGAUGGAAUAGGAUGAGAGGAGAUGGGAUUACGUUGGGGGGUCAAACCUUUUUUUUUUUUUUUAAUUUUUAUUGUACUUUUUUUUUUUUUUGUGCAAACGUAAAUGGAAAAUGAGCGACGGUGUUUAUGACAUUGAACGCAUGUAUACUACGUCUUUUGUUUACAUGGCAAGGGAAGAAGGAAAAGGAAAAGGAAACUAACACCAACAAAGGCAGAUGGAUGGCAUAGCGGCAGAAUGAUUAUUUCGUGGCCUUGAUGCUGGAGCUAGCGGAUGAAAGUGGAUUUCCGAGCGGUCAGAAAUUUUUCCCAUUCCAAAUAACACAGGAUACGGUGGAGUGUGGAAAAAAGAUAGAGAGCGAGAGUAAGUAGAGAGGGUGAAAAAUAGAGGAUAAGAAAGAGGGCAGCUAGAAAAGUGCUUUAAUAAUAAGGAUGAGAAGCAUAUAAUUAAUUGGCAAUUAAGUAGAUUGGAAAGAAAAUGUAGAGUGGAAUUUUGCG